GUUGUAAACUAUAGCAAGCGAUNNNNNGNNNNNNUUCGGCUGUUCGUGGGUAACAUGGAUAACCCUGGUAAUUCUGAGGCUAAUACNNNAACGUACUCCCUGGCUGACCGGCAACGGAAGGCUGGGGAGCGUGCAACGUAUCGUAGGGAUAAACCGGGAAUGGGUGCACGCUUGGACCGCGCUAAAGACAGAUCUCGGCGAGCCUUCGGGUGAGCCUUGGCCUGAGCGGCUCUUGCUGUGUGCUUCUGACCUAUCAACUAUACGGCAGCGUAAGGCACAUGCUAUGGUUACAACGGGUACAGAGGAUUAGGGUUCGAUCCUGGAGAGUGGGCCUGAGAGAUU
rnacentral:rRNA from 1 species